UACGUAGGGGGCUAGCGUUGUCCGGAAUCAUUGGGCGUAAAGAGCGUGUAGGCGGUCCGGUAAGUCCGCUGUGAAAGUCGGGGGCUCAACCCUCGAAUGCCGGUGGAUACUGUCGGGCUAGAGUGCGGAAGAGGCGAGUGGAAUUCCGUGGUGUAGCGGUGAAAUUCGUAGAUAUUGGGAAGAACACCGGUGGCGAAGGCGGCGACCUGGUCCGUGACUGACGGCUGAGGCGCGAAAGCGUGGGGAGCGAACAGG
rnacentral:rRNA from 1 species